UAAAAAAAAAAAAGAAAGCUCAAACUAGGCAACAAUCGGUGGUUUACAGCAUAUACAUAUUAUUUUAUGGAUGGAUAUUAGCUCAACAUGUUGAAAUGUAUUAAGUGACAUUUGCUUUGGUCUUUAUUUCAACCAGUUUACAACCAGUUAUAAAUUCUAAUGCCCCAUGAUAAACAGAGUCCAAAAGAUCGAGACAUUGAGCAGAGGCUUCAUGCAAAUUAUAUCAGUAUAAUAUAAUACUAAAUAAACAGAUCCCUCUUGCUAAAAUAACCUGUCAGCUCCCUGUCUGGGGUUUCCUGCUCAAAAUGAGCCCAUAAUAGGCGACUGCACACAUACAGUAAAAAAAAAAAGGCUAAAUGUGUCUUGGGUUUUCUAAAGCGAAACCAUGCAACACAGGGUUGAUCUGCAUAUAAAAAUAGUUUUGUGGCUGGAUGUCAGAUAAACAUGUUUAACUGUAUCAAGUGAAGUUUGCUUGGGGUUUCGUUCCCAUUCUUAAAAGGUCUUCAUAGCUUUUGUAUUUGUAAAAAUAGUAGUAGUUGUAGGUGGUACCUACUCUACUCGGCAUCCUCUUUCAAGAAGUCUGCAUCUGGGAAUUGUUUUAGAUUUGAUCAACAAACAAUAGAUUCAGUCUUUCUGGGAGAAGCUGGAGCACAUCAGCCCAGUUUAAUAGUUAAAGCUCAGUCAGAGGAGCUUUAACUUCUCUGACUGAGGAGUUAAAGCUCCUUAAAUUUACCAGCAUUUACCAGGGAAAUGUUGGUAAAUUAAUAAACCAUCAGCAGAGCUCGAAGUUCACACAGCUAGCCUCCUCCACACAUAAAUAACUGAGCUCAUCUUCUUCCAGAGUGGAUGGAUGUCAGCUGAACAUGCCAAAUUGUUUGAAGGGUUGACUUCUGUCAGGUUCUUUAUUGCCCUCUGUAUAUUUUUCGUGUGAAACACAUGGGCCCUGCAGGGCUCUGGGGUUUUAUGUACUGGCAAAAACACUGAAAUGUGUAGGAAAAAGGUUCACGUUAGAAACCACAGAACUGAAUUUAUUUACAAAUUUUAUUUUUAAAUAAUUUAUUUAAAACCACUUUUUGUCCUGGUUGAACAGCACACGCAGAGUCUCAUAUAAUAUUUUCUCCCUUUUUCAGCUCAACAGACCUAACUGGUUUCUGAUCCUUAGUGUAGUUUUACAUUAACCUCUCUGCUCUGUGUUAUUUCCUCUUUCAGGCCAGAAAAACAUCACAGCUCAUUCUGGACAGGACGUCACUUUCCCGUGCCGAGCUCCAAACAACAAAGCCAUCCAUGUAAAGUGGAGCAGAACUGACCUGGGGGAAGAAUAUGUCCUUUUGUACAGGGAUGAUGUGUUUGUUCCAGGAAACCAGCAUCAAUCUUUUCAGAACCGGGUGGAUCUGCAGGACAGACAGAUGAAGAAUGGAGACGUGUCUUUGAUUCUAAAGAAUGUUACGACUGCCGAUGCUGGAACAUACGAGUGUGAGGUGUUAGUCGGAAAAGAAAUGAGGCUCAGCAACACCAUCAGACUGACUGUUGAUCCUCCAGGUCAGCGUAUUGGACUCAAGAUUGUUCUGCUAAUGGCCACCGCUGUGCUGCUUGUUGUUGUUGCCAUCACUGGCAUAUUAAUCUACAGAAGAUGCAAAAAACAGGAUCCAAACAAACCAGAGGACCAGAGUUUGUUGCCCUGAUUCACUGUUUUUUGUUUUCAGUAAUUUCUUCCCAAGCUGGGAAUUUUAUUUUACAUGUCUUUUUCUGACACAUGCCACACUCAUUAAGCUAGCCCACGUGUGAUUAGCUGAGUUGUGUUUGGCAUGUUGGAUUCGAGGCAUGUCCCCCUCCUUGAAUUGCCACCUUAUCGUGGUGGAGGGGUUUGUGAGCUCAGACGAUCCUGGGAGCUGAGUUGUCUGGAGCGUUCAGCUCUUGGUAGGGUCUCCCAUGACAAACAGGUCCCAGGUGAUGAGCCAGACUAAGAGCAAUUCAGUAACAUUUAACCAUGAUCAAAUUAGGCUUUCUGUAACGUUGUUUUUGUACAUUUUGGUUGUAUAGACAGGUUAAAAUACAGCCAUUUGUAUCAGUCUGUUACCUUUUAUCUUUAAUGUGAUUGUAUUAUGUCUGAGUAAGGGUCUGUGUCCACGGGAAGCUGUUUUUCAUUUUAAUAGCUCCUCUCUCAAACACUUAUUGAUGCCAGCUGCCUGUUAGCACAAGCUUAUACUCCUUCACAGUUGACAGAGUCUGGAAACCAGGAUAAAAAUGGCUGAUUGUUUUUUUUCAUAGUUUGUCCAAAAACUAGAACAAAAACAGCUUCCUGUUGAUAAAAACCUUUAAUCUGCAACUCCACAUGUUUGUAGUCCAGCAGUUUUCAAACAUUGAGUCUCUGCUUGUGCAAAAACAAACAAGUAUCUGCUGAUGCUGUGACCUGGGAAUAAAAUGUAAUCUCCAUCAUUUUUUUUUUUUUAAGAUUAAUUGACAAUGAUUCAGUUCCUGAAAUGAGACACAGGAGAAAAUAUUUGAGAACUGCUGAUUUAGUGGAUUGAGAAGCACAAAACUUAGAAGUUAUUAUACUGUAUAUGUUUACAACGUGGAAAUUAACUGUGUACAAAGCCUGACAUGUUUGCGAAUGUAUUAACGCUAACUUGUGGUGUUUUGUAUUGAAGUGAUUCUGUUUGAGUUCAGAUAUCUGACAUUAAAGUACUGUCAUGGUU